rnacentral:rRNA from 1 species
AGCGAACGCUGGCGGCGUGCCUAACACAUGCAAGUCGAACGUGAAAAGGGAAACCUGAGUAAAGUGGCGUACGGGUGAGUAACGCGUAGGUAAUCUACCCCAGAAUCUGGAAUAACCUGCCGAAAGGCGGGCUAAUACUGGAUAGAGCGAGGGAACUCGUAAGAGAGUUUUUCGGGAAAGGGAGCCCGCAAGGGCCUUCGUUCUGGGAUGAGCCUGCGUCUCAUUAGCUAGUUGGUAAGGUAACGGCUUACCAAGGCGAUGAUGAGUAGCUGGUCUGAGAGGAUGGUCAGCCACACUGGAACGGAAACACGGUCCAGACGGCUACGGGAGGCAGCCGUGGGGAAUCUUGCGCAAUGGACGAAAGUCUGACGCAGCCACGCCGCGUGAGUGAAGAAGGCCUUCGGGUUGUAAAGCUCUGUCGGAUGGGACGAACAUCUUCAUAGUGAAUAGCUAUGAGGACUGACGGUACCAUCAAAGGAAGCACCGGCUAACUCCGUG